rnacentral:rRNA from 1 species
CCUACGGGAGGCAGCAGUGAGGAAUCUUCGUCAAUGGCCGAGAGGCUGAACCAGCAAAGUCGCGUGAGGGAAGACGGCCCUACGGGUUGUAAACCUCUUUUGUCGGGGAGCAAAACGAGUCACGUGUGACUCAUUGAGAGUACCCGAAGAAAAAGCAUCGUCUAACUCCGUGCCAGCAGCCGCGGUAAUACGGAGGAUGCGAGCGUUAUCCGGUUUUGGUGGGUUUAAAGGGUGCGCAGGCGGAGGUGCAAGUCAGCGGUCAAAUUGCGGGGCUCAACCCCGUACUGCCGUUGAAACUGCAUCCCGUGAGUGCGAGAGAAGUAUCGGAAUGCGUGGUGUAGCGGUGAAAUGCAUAGAUAUCACGCAGAACUCCGAUUGCGAAGGCAGCAUACCGGCGCGCAACUGACGCUCAUGCACGAAAGCGUGGGUAGCGAACAGGAUUAGAUACCCUUGUAGUC